rnacentral:rRNA from 1 species
GGCUAACGCUGGCGGCGUGUCUUAGCCAUGCAAGUCGAGCGGACUUAUGGGGUAACUUAUAAGUCAGCGGCGGACGGCGGAGUAACACGUAGCUAACCUACCCUCUGGACGGGGAUAACCUACCGAAAGGUGGGCUAAUACCCGAUGUAGUCAUCCUGUAUAGGGGUGAUGAAAGGUGGGCUUCUGUUUACAAGCUCAUGCUGGAGAGGGGGCUGCGGCCUAUCAGGUAGUUGGUAGGGUAAUAGCCUACCAAGCCGAUGACGGGUAGCCGGCCUGAGAGGGUGACCGGCCCGAGGGGCACUGAGAUACGGGUCCCACUCCUACGGGAGGCAGCAGGCUAGAAAUUUGGGCAAUGGGGGAAACCCUGACCCAGUGACGCCGCGUGCAGGAAGGAGCCCUUCGGGGUGUAAACUGCUGUCGUGUAGGGAGAAGGGUACUAAGGUGAACAAUCUUAGUACUUGACGGUACUACAGGAGGAAGCCCAGGCUAACCUCGUGCCAGCAGCCGCGGUAAGAGUCACGUCG